rnacentral:rRNA from 1 species
GGCAAACAAGGGUGCAGCGGCGGGGGUAGUGGGUAGUGGGCCGGGGUUGGUCGGAGUUAGUGGGCGUAAAGGGUUGGUAGGCGUUGCGGUAAGUUGGGGGUGAAAACUCUGGGCUUAACUCAGAGGCUGCUUUCAAAUCUGCCGUGCUCGAGUGCGAGAGAGGUCAGUGGAAUUGCAGGUGUAGCGGUGAAAUGCGUAGAUAUCUGCAGGAACACCCGUGGCGAAGGCGGCUGACUGGAUCGCAACUGACGCUGAGGAACGAAAGCUAGGGGAGCAAACAGGAUUAGAUACCCGGUAGUC